AGAGUUUGAUCAUGGCUCAGAUUGAACGCUGGCGGCAGGCCUAACACAUGCAAGUCGAACGGUAACAGGAAGAAGCUUGCUUCUUUGCUGACGAGUGGCGAACGGGUGAGUAAUGUCUGGGAAACUGCCUGAUGGAGGGGGAUAACUACUGGAAACGAUAGCUAAUACCGCAUAACGUCGCAAGACCAAAGAGGGGGACCUUCGGGCCUCUUGCCAUCGGAUGUGCCCAGAUGGGAUUAGCUAGUAGGUGGGGUAACGGCUCACCUAGGCGACGAUCCCUAGCUGGUCUGAGAGGAUGACCAGCCACACUGGAACUGAGACACGGUCCAGACUCCUACGGGAGGCAGCAGUGGGGAAUAUUGCACAAUGGGCGCAAGCCUGAUGCAGCCAUGCCGCGUGUAUGAAGAAGGCCUUCGGGUUGUAAAGUACUUUCAGCGGGGAGGAAGGGAGUAAAGUUAAUACCUUUGCUCAUUGACGUUACCCGCAGAAGAAGCACCGGCUAACUCCGUGCCAGCAGCCGCGGUAAUACGGAGGGUGUAAGCGUUAAUCGGAAUUACUGGGCGUAAAGCGCACGCAGGCGGUUUGUUAAGUCAGAUGUGAAAUCCCCGGGCUCAACCUGGGAACUGCAUCUGAUACUGGCAAGCUUGAGUCUCGUAGAGGGGGGUAGAAUUCCAGGUGUAGCGGUGAAAUGCGUAGAGAUCUGGAGGAAUACCGGUGGCGAAGGCGGCCCCCUGGACGAAGACUGACGCUCAGGUGCGAAAGCGUGGGGAGCAAACAGGAUUAGAUACCCUGGUAGUCCACGCCGUAAACGAUGUCGACUUGGAGGUUGUGCCCUUGAGGCGUGGCUUCCGGAGCUAACGCGUUAAGUCGACCGCCUGGGGAGUACGGCCGCAAGGUUAAAACUCAAAUGAAUUGACGGGGGCCCGCACAAGCGGUGGAGCAUGUGGUUUAAUUCGAUGCAACGCGAAGAACCUUACCUGGUCUUGACAUCCACGGAAGUUUUCAGAGAUAAGAAU
rnacentral:rRNA from 1 species